rnacentral:rRNA from 1 species
AGAAUCAACGCUGGCGGCGUGCCUAACACAUGCAAGUCGAACGAGAAAGUGGAGCAAUCCAUGAGUAAAGUGGCGCACGGGUGAGUAACACGUGACUAACCUACCCUUGAGUGGGGGAUAACCUAGAGAAAUCUGGGCUAAUACCGCAUAAUACCUUCGGGUCAAAGGAGCAAUUCGCUUAAGGAGGGGGUCGCGGCCGAUUAGUUAGUUGGCGGGGUAAUGGCCCACCAAGACUAUGAUCGGUAUCCGGCCUGAGAGGGCGCACGGACACACUGGAACUGAAACACGGUCCAGACUCCUACGGGAGGCAGCAGUGGGAAUUUUGCGCAAUGGGGGAAACCCUGACGCAGCAACGCCGCGUGGAGGAUGAAGUCCCUUGGGACGUAAACUCCUUUCGAUCGGGACGAUAAUGACGGUACCGAGAGAAGAAGCCCGGCUAACUUCGUGCCAGCAGCCGC